CGAGGAGAGCUCCCCCCCCCCCCCCCCCCGCCCCCGACAGCGGGCUGUAUUCUUUCACCGGGAUAGCCCCUGCACGACGCGGACCUGGGGAUCCCGCUCCGCAGUACGGAGAUUGUAAGGAGUUGUUCUCUGUUGAGAUUAAUCAUGGGGGCUUCUUUUGCGGUGUUGGAUUGAACAAGAGCUAUGUAGAUGGCCGAAUUGACUACUUUGAUCGGUGCGAAGUAGAUUCUUGGUCGCCUCUAUGGAUUAAGGACUUUAUAGAACAGCUUGGUCAUGAUGCGCUUCAAUGCCAUGUCUACUGGUUGCUUCCUGGCAAGAAAUUGGGGGAUGGUUUGCGCAUUGUGGAUAGUGAUGCUGAUACUCUGAACAUGGCUGCAGUGGUGUCAAAGUUCAGGCCAGAGAGAUGCACUACCAGCACCAAGAGCUACCACUGCAGCACAUGAUGUACGAGGAAAAAAGAAGAAGGGGAAGGCUAAGGCCAAAUAGAUGAUUCAAAAUAGAUGUGAAGCUAUAGGGGUUGCAUUUUGGACAUAUGGUUUCCUUUUGGACAGAAGUUGGAGAAGGUUGGACUGACAGUUUCUUUUUGGACAGAACAGUUGGAAGAAUAGCUUUUGUUUUCGAUGCUGUGAAAUGUGGUCUGUAUUGAACCUCAAGCAUUAAGUAUUGCUGUAGGAAUACCACCAAAAAACAUCUCUAUUUGAGUUUGUCUUAGGUACUCAAUCUUUUGAUGUAUGAAUCUUAAGCACUCUAUGAAUCCAAUGGUGUCA